rnacentral:rRNA from 1 species
AGUGAACGCUGGCGGCAGGCCUAACACAUGCAAGUCGAGCGGCAGCGGGUCCCCGCGAGGGGAUGCCGGCGAGCGGCGGACGGGUGAGGAACACAUCGGAAUCUGCCUGGUUGUGGGGGAUAACGUAGGGAAACUUACGCUAAUACCGCAUGAGACCCUGAGUCGACGGACUGGGGGUGAAAGUGAGGGACCUUCGGGCCUCACGCGACCAGAUGAGCCGAUGUCGGAUUAGCUAGUUGGCGGGGUAACGGCCCGCCAAGGCGACGAUCCGUAGCUGGUCUGAGAGGAUGAUCAGCCACACUGGGACUGAGACACGGCCCAGACUCCUACGGGAGGCAGCAGUGGGGAAUAUUGGACAAUGGGCGAAAGCCUGAUCCAGCAAUGCCGCGUGUGUGAAGAAGGCCUGCGGGUUGUAAG